rnacentral:lncRNA from 1 species
UCCCCACCGCGGACGGACAGGGCCACUCUCUCCUAUCAUAAAUAGCCCCUCUCUGAUUUGAUAGGAAAGGCUAGGUUUUGCCCUUUUUCAAAAAGUAAAUGAGGAAAUCGAGAAGUUUCUUCUCUUUUUUUAUUUUUUAUUUUAGUUGGUUAUUGGGAUGUUUUAGCCCUGGAUCCGUUUCCAAGGCUUCGUAAAGGUUCAAAGAACCUUUUUUUUUUCGAAUUUUCAGUCA